GUGUAGCGGUGAAAUGCGUAGAUAUAUGGAAGAACACCAGUGGCGAAGGCGGCUGUCUGGUCUGUAACUGACGCUGAGGCUCGAAAGUAUGGGUAGCAAACAGGAUUAGAUACCCUGGUAGUCCAUACCGUAAACGAUGAAUGCUAAGUGUUGGAGGGUUUCCCCCUUCAGUGCUGCAGCUAACGCAUUAAGCAUUCCGCCUGGGGAGUACGGCCGCAAGGCUGAAACUCAAAGGAAUUGACGGGGGCCCGCACAAGCGGUGGAGCAUGUGGUUUAAUUCGAAGCUACGCGAAGAACCUUACCAGGUCUUGACAUACUAUGCAAAUCUAAGAGAUUAGACGUUCCCUUCGGGGACAUGGAUACAGGUGGUGCAUGGUUGUCGUCAGCUCGUGUCGUGAGAUGUUGGGUUAAGUCCCGCAACGAGCGCAACCCUUAUUAUCAGUUGCCAGCAUUAAGUUGGGCACUCUGGUGAGACUGCCGGUGACAAACCGGAGGAAGGUGGGGAUGACGUCAAAUCAUCAUGCCCCUUAUGACCUGGGCUACACACGUGCUACAAUGGAUGGUACAACGAGUUGCGAACUCGCGAGAGUAAGCUAAUCUCUUAAAGCCAUUCUCAGUUCGGAUUGUAGGCUGCAACUCGCCUACAUGAAGUCGGAAUCGCUAGUAAUCGCGGAUCAGCAUGCCGCGGUGAAUACGUUCCCGGGCCUUGUACACACCGCCCGUCACACCAUGAGAGUUUGUAACACCCAAAGUCGGUGGGGUAACCUUUAGGAACCAGCCGCCUAAGGUGGGACAGAUGAUUAGGGUGAAGUCGUAACAAGGUAACCA
rnacentral:rRNA from 1 species